rnacentral:rRNA from 1 species
CCUACGGGAGGCAGCAGUGGGGAAUAUUGGACAAUGGGGGCAACCCUGAUCCAGCCAUGCCGCGUGUGUGAAGAAGGCCCUCGGGUUGUAAAGCACUUUCAGUGAGGAAGAACGCCUGGUGGUUAAUACCCAUCAGGAAAGACAUCACUCACAGAAGAAGCACCGGCUAACUCCGUGCCAGCAGCCGCGGUAAUACGGAGGGUGCGAGCGUUAAUCGGAAUUACUGGGCGUAAAGCGCGCGUAGGUGGCUUGAUAAGCCGGUUGUGAAAGCCCCGGGCUCAACCUGGGAACGGCAUCCGGAACUGUCAAGCUAGAGUGCAGGAGAGGAAGGUAGAAUUCCCGGUGUAGCGGUGAAAUGCGUAGAGAUCGGGAGGAAUACCAGUGGCGAAGGCGGCCUUCAGGACUGACACUGACACUGAGGUGCGAAAGCGUGGGUAGCAAACAGGAUUAGAUACCCUGGUAGUC